rnacentral:rRNA from 1 species
GGUGAACGCUGGCGGUAGGCCUAACACAUGCAAGUCGAACGGCAGCACAGUAAGAGCUUGCUCUUACGGGUGGCGAGUGGCGGACGGGUGAGGAGUACAUCGGAAUCUACUUUUUCGUGGGGGAUAACGUAGGGAAACUUACGCUAAUACCGCAUACGACCUACGGGUGAAAGCAGGGGAUCUUCGGACCUUGCGCGAUUGAAUGAGCCGAUGUCGGAUUAGCUAGUUGGCGGGGUAAAGGCCCACCAAGGCGACGAUCCGUAGCUGGUCUGAGAGGAUGAUCAGCCACACUGGAACUGAGACACGGUCCAGACUCCUACGGGAGGCAGCAGUGGGGAAUAUUGGACAACGGGCGCAAGCCUGAUCCAGCCAUACCGCGUGGGUGAAGAAGGCCUUCGGGUUGUAAAGCCCUUUUGUUGGGAAAGAAAAGCAGCAGGUUAAUACCCCGCUGUUCUGACGGUACCCAAAGAAUAAGCACCGGCUAACUUCGUG